rnacentral:tRNA from 9 species
GCCGCGGUAGCUCAGUGGAGAGAGCACCUGCCUACGAAGCAGGGGGGCCGGGGGUUCAAAUCCCUCUCGCGGUA